CGCGGGGUGGAGCAGCUCGGUAGCUCGCUGGGCUCAUAACCCAGAGGUCGCAGGUUCAAAUCCUGUCCCCGCAACGA
rnacentral:tRNA from 9 species